GGAGACCGUAAUCCUUAUUCACGAUGAUGAGGAACCAAAAUCAAAUACUAUGGCAACAACGAAUUUGAAACAUGGAGCAGCAAAAUCAAAAGCUAGGGAAAAAGAGAAACCGUUGAAUGCUUAAGGGAAGGACAUUUGAUAAAAAAUUAGAAGAAUUCCAACAGAGUUGUCUCCAUCACCAUCUGUGAAUGCAUAUCACUUGUUCGAGAGAAGGCCUUAAUGACCGGGUGCUGACUCAGCUAACAGAGCAGCGGAUGGAAAAAUUAACGAUGGGAGGAAACACAAAUUUUAAUCUAUUUGGGGAGGAAAUGCUAAUUAGCGAUCUUGGGAGGGGAGGAAACGCAAAAUAGCCCUUGUAGAUUUGUAAAGAUUUAA